UUCUCUGGCCCAUCCAAAUCCCUCCACUCCAACUGUGAACCUCAAGCACCUUCAGGAAUAGCAGUAUGAAUGAAUCCUAGUGUACUGUUUUCUUGCUUAAUUCUCUCUUUCCAUUUCUUUCUAUGCUGACAUCGUAAAUCACCAUUUUUUUUUCAUUAUUGGUUGGAUUCGAAUGGUUCCUUCUUUCUGGAGUGUUUUGAUUUUAUGGAGGAAUUGAAUAAUGUUUAUUUACUCUGCAUUUUCUUGUGCCAUGUAUAUUCACAGUGGAAUAAUUGUAAGUUUAGAAUUUCAAAGUGUAAUCUAUGUUGUGAUUUUACAGUGUGAGUAUAAUGGUGUGGUGAUUUGACAUGGGUUUGUUGAAUGAAAAUUGUGGGGUGUUAUUGUACAAUAUACUGCUGUGGAUAUCACCCUAGGAGUGUUUGACAAAAUGCCUGAGUGAGCAUUUUAAAUACUUUGACCGUUCGUUCAUUUUCGAAAACUAAAUUGAUGAGGUUUCCUGAAUUCUUAUCUGAUUAAUCAUUUCAGCAGCAAAUGUUUCUUCUAAUCUCAAGGUUGCAGAACUCAUGUGCCGCUCCGUUCAGAAGGAAAGCUGACAAUGCUUAUUGUUUGUUGUUUCCUUCCACACCUCUAUUGUUGAAAUGUACUGAUGGCUAUGUUGGUUGAUUAGCUGAAAAAUAAGGUUGCACACAUGUGAUUAUCCUGUGCAUGUGUGAUAUGGAGUCGCAGUGAGAAAGUUUAGUGUGUGGCAUCUUAUGGUAAGGUCCUUGUAGACUUGACAGCAAACAACUUCUUUCUUUAUUAAAGUUGUAUUUUCUAUUCAUAAGGAUUUUUUGUUUGUCGAUGGAAGAUAACUUGUGGAAUAUUUCAGGUGGUUGUUCUACCGCAUAAAGAUGAUGUUACUGGUAACAGAAGUUGCACUAUAUAACUUCAUUUUUAAAAACAUUUUUGCAUGUAGAUUAUGAUAUCUUCUUUUAACUUUCAACUGCUUGCUAAUUUAUUACCCAUUUUAUAAAAAUAUAGGUUGACUAUCUCAGACAACAUUCUUGUCUCAAUUCAAGGGAAAUAUCAAAUGGGCGGAUGCACAAGUGAAUUGGAGAAGUUACUAAAGGGAAGUAGGAGAAAGAGCUGAAAAAUGAGUUGUGGAAGUGAAGAAAUCUCUUGUUGCAGAACUAGUUUCAUUUUACAUGAAUCCAGCCUAAUAGUUUGAUUCAAGCAUUGUUUAAUUAUAAAGACGUACAGUUAUGCACAAUUUCAUUCUUGGAAUUAGUUAUAGAGAUCUUCUGUAUACAAAUAGUUUAUUUCAGUUCACAUUCUCUAUGUUGAUAGACAUUUGUAAUUAUAUAAUUUUGAAAUUUGAUGGUUAUGAUUUCUA